rnacentral:rRNA from 1 species
GAUAAACGCUGGCGGCGUGCUUAACACAUGCAAGUCGAACGAAGUUUUUCUUUCGGGAGGAACUUAGUGGCGGACGGGCGGGUAACGCGUGGGUAACCUGCCCUGUACAGGGGGACAACAGCUGGAAACGGCUGCUAAUACCGCAUAAGCCCUUCGCACUGCAUGGUGCAGAGGGAAAAGGAGCAAUCCGGUACAGGAUGGACCCGCGUCUGAUUAGCCAGUUGGCAGGGUAACGGCCUACCAAAGCGACGACCAGUAGCCGAUCUGAGAGGAGGUACGGCCACAUUGGGACUGAGACGCGGCCCAGACUCCUACGGGAUGCAGCAGUGGGUAAUAUUGCACAAUGGAGGAAGCUCUGAUGCAGCGACGCCGCGUGAGUGAAGAAGUAGUUCGAUAUGUAAAGCUCUAUCAGCAGGAAAGAAAAUGACGGUACCUGACUAAGAAGCACCGGCUAAAUACGUG